UUUCAAGUUAUUUUUAUUGUUUGCCUUGUCAUUUGUUAACAUUACUGGCGGAUCUUGUGCCCUCUCACGUUUAACUAUGACUAUGUUUAACAAAUCAGACCUGAUCCUAGGCCAAGACCCGCCAAAAAGGGCCGGUAGAAAUACGAGAAAUACCCAGGAUUCCCUCUCCCCAGACUGUGACUCCAGCGUCCGCCUAUUAUCUAAAUCUGAAUAUGUAGCUCUAGCCAUUUCCCUUUUUGGGGUUCCUGGCCUUGCUUCACGCAAUACUAGAACUAUUAAUGCAUUGGCCUGUUCCCUAGCAAAGGGUCUGA